GCGGGCGUGGCGGAAUGGUAGACGCAAGGGACUUAAAAUCCCUGGGCUUUGGCCGUGCGGGUUCGAGUCCCGCCGCCCGUACCA
rnacentral:tRNA from 1 species